UACAGAGGGGGCAAGCGUUGUUCGGAAUUACUGGGCGUAAAGGGCGCGUAGGCGGCCAACUAAGUCAGACGUGAAAUCCCCAGGCUCAACCUGGGAACUGCGUCUGAUACUGGAUGGCUCGAGUUCGGGAGAGGGAAGUGGAAUUCCAGGUGUAGCGGUGAAAUGCGUAGAUAUCUGGAGGAAUACCGGUGGCGAAGGCGGCAUCCUGGACCGACAUUGACGCUGAGGAGCGAAAGCUAGGGGAGCAAACGGG
rnacentral:rRNA from 1 species